GUAGUCAUAUGCUUGUCUCAAAGAUUAAGCCAUGCAUGUCUAAGUAUAAGCAAUCUAUACUGUGAAACUGCGAAUGGCUCAUUAAAUCAGUUAUCGUUUAUUUGAUAGUACCUUACUACUUGGAUAACCGUGGUAAUUCUAGAGCUAAUACAUGCUAAAAACCCCGACUUCGGAAGGGGUGUAUUUAUUAGAUAAAAAACCAAUGCCCUUCGGGGCUCCUUGGUGAUUCAUGAUAACUUAACGAAUCGCAUGGCCUUGCGCCGGCGAUGGUUCAUUCAAAUUUCUGCCCUAUCAACUUUCGAUGGUAGGAUAGUGGCCUACCAUGGUAUCAACGGGUAACGGGGAAUUAGGGUUCUAUUCCGGAGAGGGAGCCUGAGAAACGGCUACCACAUCCAAGGAAGGCAGCAGGCGCGCAAAUUACCCAAUCCCGACACGGGGAGGUAGUGACAAUAAAUACUGAUACAGGGCUCUUUUGGGUCUUGUAAUUGGAAUGAGUACAAUUUAAAUACCUUAACGAGGAACAAUUGGAGGGCAAGUCUGGUGCCAGCAGCCGCGGUAAUUCCAGCUCCAAUAGCGUAUAUUAAAGUUGUUGCAGUUAAAAAGCUCGUAGUUGAACCUUGGGCCUGGCUGGCCGGUCCGCCUCACCGCGUGUACUGGUUCGGCUGGGCCUUUCCUUCUGGGGAUCCGCAUGCCCUUCACUGGGUGUGCCGGGGAACCAGGACUUUUACUUUGAAAAAAUUAGAGUGUUCAAAGCAGGCCUUUGCUCGAAUACAUUAGCAUGGAAUAAUAGAAUAGGACGUGCGGUCCUAUUUUGUUGGUUUCUAGGACCGCCGUAAUGAUUAAUAGGGAUAGUCGGGGGCAUCAGUAUUCAAUUGUCAGAGGUGAAAUUCUUGGAUUUAUUGAAGACUAACUACUGCGAAAGCAUUUGCCAAGGAUGUUUUCAUUAAUCAGUGAACGAAAGUUAGGGGAUCGAAGACGAUCAGAUACCGUCGUAGUCUUAACCGUAAACUAUGCCGACUAGGGAUCGGGCGAUGUUAUUAUUUUGACUCGCUCGGCACCUUACGAGAAAUCAAAGUUUUUGGGUUCUGGGGGGAGUAUGGUCGCAAGGCUGAAACUUAAAGGAAUUGACGGAAG
rnacentral:rRNA from 1 species